rnacentral:rRNA from 1 species
GAUGAACGCUAGCGGCAGGCCUAAUACAUGCAAGUCGGACGGGAUUGAGAUUAAAGCUUGCUUUGAUUUCAUGAGAGUGGCGCACGGGUGCGUAACGCGUGAGCAACCUACCCAUAUCAGGGGGAUAGCCUCUCGAAAGAGAGAUUAACACCGCAUAACAUCAUUUACCGGCAUCGGAUUAUGAUCAAAUAUUUAUAGGAUAUGGAUGGGCUCGCGUGACAUUAGCUAGUUGGAGGGGUA